AACGAACGCUGGCGGCAGGCUUAACACAUGCGAGUCGAGCGGGCCCUUCGGGGUCAGCGGCAGACGGGUGAGUAACGCGUGGGAACGUACCCUUUACUACGGAACAACUCCGGGAAACUGGAGCUAAUACCGUAUGUGCCCUUCGGGGGAAAGAUUUAUCGGUAAAGGAUCGGCCCGCGUUGGAUUAGCUAGUUGGUGGGGUAAAGGCCUACCAAGGCGACGAUCCAUAGCUGGUCUGAGAGGAUGAUCAGCCACAUUGGGACUGAGACACGGCCCAAACUCCUACGGGAGGCAGCAGUGGGGAAUAUUGGACAAUGGGCGCAAGCUUGAUCCAGCCAUGCCGCGUGAGUGAUGAAGGCCUUAGGGUUGUAAAGCUCUUUCACCGGGGAAGAUAAUGACGGUACCCGGAGAAGAAGCCCCGGCUAACUCCGUGCCAGCUGCCGCGGUAACAC
rnacentral:rRNA from 1 species